CUACGGGUCGCAGCAGUGGGGAAUAUUGGACAAUGGGGGAAACCCUGAUCCAGCAAUGCCGCGUGUGUGAAGAAGGCCUGCGGGUUGUAAAGCACUUUCGGUUGGGAGGACUGCUUCUAGCACUAAUAUUGUUGGAAGUUGACGUUACCUUCAGAAGAAGCACCGGCUAACUCCGUGCCAGCAGCCGCGGUAAUACGGAUGGUGCAAGCGUGAAUCGGAAUUACUGGGCGUAAAGCGCGCGUAGGCGGCUAGAUCAGUCGGGUGUGAAAGCCCCGGGCCUAACCUGGGAACUGCAUCCGAUACUGUCUAGCUUGAGUACAGGAGAGGAGAGUGGAAUUCCACAUGUAGCGGUGAAAUGCGUAUAUAUGUGGAGGAACACCAAUGGCGAAGGCAGCUCUCUGGCCUGAUACUGACGCUGAGGUGCGAAAGCGUGGGGAGCAAACAGGAUUAGAUACCCCGGUAGUC
rnacentral:rRNA from 1 species